rnacentral:rRNA from 1 species
CUACGGGCGGCUGCAGCAGGGAAUAUUGCACAAUGGACGGAAGUCUGAUGCAGCGACGCCGCGUGGAUGAUGAAGGCCCUCGGGUUGUAAAAUCCUUUUCAGGGGGACGAGGAAGGACGGUACCCUUGGAAUAAGCGUCGGCUAACUACGUGCCAGCAGCCGCGGUAAGACGUAGGACGCAAGCGUUAUCCGGGUUUACUGGGCGUAAAGCGUCUGUAGGCGGAAUGGUAAGUUGGACGUGAAAGCUCCGGGCUCAACCCGGAGAGGUCGUUCAAUACUGCCAAACUAGAGGGCAUCAGAGGAGCGUGGAAUUUCCGGUGUAGCGGUAAAAUGCGCAGAUAUCGGAAGGAACACCAAUGGCGAAGGCAGCGCUCUGGGAUGAACCUGACGCUAAGAGACGAAAGCUAGGGGAGCGAACAGGAUUAGAUACCCCCGUAGUC